rnacentral:pre_miRNA from 1 species
ACAACAUUCGGACCAUCGGUCUGUCGAGCAAUGACACGCGCUCAGUGGAAGAUCUUUUCCUUCGUCGU